GGUGGUUGCUAUGGUAACCUGGGUGGUUGCUAGGAAGUUGCUAAGGUACUUGGGGUGGUUGCUAAGUGGUUGCUAGGAUGUUCUGGGUGGUUGCUAGGCGGUUGCUAGGCAGUUGCUAAGGUACUUGGGGUGGUUGCUAGGCGGUUGCUAGGGUGUUCUGGGUGGUUGCUAGGCGGUUGCUAGACAGUUGCUAAGGUACUUGGGGUGGUUGCUAAGGUGUUGCUAGGUGGUUGCUAGGGUGCUCUGGGUGGUUGCUAGGCGGUUGCUAUGGUAACCGGGGUAGUUGCUAUGCUGUUACUAGGUGGUUGGUAGUUGUCACAGAUGGUCACUAUGUAGCUUAUAUAGAGUUCUUAGCAUGUUGUUAGCCAAUUUGAG
ensembl:lncRNA